rnacentral:rRNA from 1 species
GACAUCAACCGAGACUCCGUUAGUAGUGGCGAGCGAACGCGGACCAGGCCAGUGGCCGAUUUGUAAAAACUAGAAUUGUCUGGAAAGGCAAGCCAUAGUGGGUGAUAGCCCCGUAUAGGUAAAAAGCAGAUCGGUCCUCGAGUAAGGCGGAACACGUGAAAUUCUGUCUGAACGUGGGGGGACCACCCUCCAAGCCUAAGUACUCCUUAGUGACCGAUAGUGAACAAGUACCGUGAGGGAAAGGUGAAAAGCACCCCGACAAGGGGAGUGAAACAGAUCCUGAAAUCGGAAGCCUACAAGCAGUCGGAGCCUCCACGCGAGGUGACGGCGUACCUUUUGUAUAAUGGGUCAGCGACUUCAUGUGUCGAGCAAGCUUAAGCCGUUAGGUGUAGGCGCAGCGAAAGCGAGUCUGAAUAGGGCGCUAAGUUCGACGUAUGACGACCCGAAACCAGGUGAUCUAUCCAUGAGCAGGUUGAAGGUUGGGUAACACCAACUGGAGGACCGAACCCGUGAAUGUUGAAAAAUUCUGGGAUGACUUGUGGAUAGGGGUGAAAGGCCAAUCAAACCUGGACAUAGCUGGUUCUCCGCGAAAUCUAUUUAGGUAGAGCGUCCGACGAAUUCCUUGGGGGGUAGAGCACUGGAUGGUUGCGGGCUGCGCGAGCGGUACCAAUACUAACCAAACUCCGAAUACCCAAGAGAACUAUCGGGCAGACACACGGCGGGUGCUAACGUCCGUCGUGAAAAGGGAAACAACCCUAACCAUCAUCUAAGGCCCCCAAGUCACGGCUAAGUGGGAAACGAUGUGGGAUUGCUUUGACAAUCAGGAGGUUGGCUUAGAAGCAGCCAUCCUUUAAAGAAAGCGUAACAGCUCACUGAUCUAAAUAAGCCGUCCUGCGCCGAAGAUGUACCGGGGCUCAAACUAUCCACCGAAGCUGCGGGUGUAUGAUUUCUUCGGAUUUCAUACGCGGUAGCGGAGCGUUCCGUAGGCCUGUGAAGGUGUCUCGCGAGAGAUGCUGGAGGUAUCGGAAGUGCGAAUGCUGACAUGAGUAGCGAUAAAGAGUGUGAGAAACACUCUCGCCGAAAGUCCAAGGGUUCCUGCGCAAGGCUAAUCCGCGCAGGGUGAGCCGGCCCCUAAGCCGAGGCCGAAAGGCGUAGGCGAUGGGAACCAGGUUAAUAUUCCUGGGCCUGCUGGAUGUGACGGAGGCCGAAAGCCGUAUCUUCUUAUUGGAUUGAGGAUGCGGCCUGGGACUCCCAGGAAAUAGCACCAGCAUAAAGACCGUACCCCAAACCGACACAGGUGGACAGGUAGAGCAUACCAAGGCGCUUGAGAGAACGGUGUUGAAGGAACUAGGCAAAAUACCCCCGUAACUUCGGGAGAAGGGGGACCUCCAUUUGGGCAACCAGAUGGGGGUGGCACAGACCAGGGGGUGGCGACUGUUUACUAAAAACAUAGGUCUCUGCGAAGUCGUAAGACGACGUAUAGGGACUGACGCCUGCCCGGUGCUGGAAGGUUAAGGAGAGGGGUGCAAGCUCUGAACCGAAGCCCCAGUAAACGGCGGCCGUAACUAUAACGGUCCUAAGGUAGCGAAAUUCCUUGUCGGGUAAGUUCCGACCUGCACGAAUGGCGUAACGACUGCCCCGCUGUCUCCAACACCGACUCAGCGAAAUUGAACUCUGAGUUAAGAUGCUCAGUACCCGCGAUCAGACGGAAAGACCCCGUGCACCUUUACUAUAGCUUUGCAGUGGUAUUAGUGGACGAAUGUGUAGGAUAGGCGGGAGGCUUUGAAGCAGUGGCGCCAGUCAUUGUGGAGCCGCCCUUGAAAUACCGCCCUUUUAUUUUCUGAUAUCUAACCGAGGCCCGUUAUCCGGGUCCGGGACCCUGCAUGGUGGGUAGUUUGACUGGGGCGGUCGCCUCCUAAAGAGUAACGGAGGCGCGCGAAGGUAGGCUCAAGCUGGUCGGAAAUCAGCUGUUGAGUGCAAUGGCAUAAGCCUGCCUGACUGCGAGACUGACAAGUCGAGCAGAGACGAAAGUCGGUCAUAGUGAUCCGGUGGUCCCGCGUGGAAGGGCCAUCGCUCAACGGAUAAAAGGUACGCCGGGGAUAACAGGCUGAUACCGCCCAAGAGUCCAUAUCGACGGCGGUGUUUGGCACCUCGAUGUCGCCCUAUAGUGAGUCGUAUAGAUCGGAAGAGCACACGUCUGAACUCCAGUCACACGCAACAUCUCGUAUG